AACGAACGCUGGCGGCAUGCCUAACACAUGCAAGUCGAACGAGACCUUCGGGUCUAGUGGCGCACGGGUGCGUAACGCGUGGGAACCUGCCCUUAGGUUCGGAAUAACUCCCCGAAAGGGGUGCUAAUACCGGAUAAUGUCUUCGGACCAAAGAUUUAUCGCCUUUGGAUGGGCCCGCGUUGGAUUAGCUAGUUGGUAGGGUAAAAGCCUACCAAGGCGACGAUCCAUAGCUGGUCUGAGAGGAUGAUCAGCCACACUGGGACGGAGACACGGCCCAGACUCCUACGGGAGGCAGCAGUGGGGAAUAUUGGACAAUGGGCGAAAGCCUGAUCCAGCAAUGCCGUGUGAGUGAUGAAGGCGUUAGGGUUGUAAAGCUCUUUUACCCGGGAUGAUAAUGACAGUACCGGGAGAAUAAGCCCCGGCUAACUCCGU
rnacentral:rRNA from 1 species